UACGAAGGGGACUAGCGUUGUUCGGAAUCACUGGGCGUAAAGCGCACGUAGGCGGACUCUUAAGUCGGUGGUGAAAUCCUGGAGCUCAACUCCAGAACUGCCUUCGAUACUGAGAGUCUCAGAGUCCGGGAGAGGUGAGUGGAACUGCGAGUGUAGAGGUGAAAUUCGUAGAUAUUCGCAAGAACACCAGUGGCGAAGGCGGCUCACUGGCCCGGUACUGACGCUGAGGUGCGAAAGCGUGGGGAGCAAACAGG
rnacentral:rRNA from 1 species